rnacentral:tRNA from 1 species
GUAAUUUUAGUUUAAUAAAAACAUUAGAUUGUGAUUCUAAUAAUGGAAGAUUCUACCUUCCCAAUUACC